rnacentral:rRNA from 1 species
AGAGUUUGAUCCUGGCUCAGAUUGAACGCUGGCGGCAUGCUUUACACAUGCAAGUCGAACGGGGUGAGGGGGCAACCUCUCAUUCAGUGGCGAACGGGUGAGUAAUGCAUCGGAACGUGUCCGGGAGUGGGGGAUAACGCCGCGAAAGCGGCGCUAAUACCGCAUAUGCUCUACGGAGGAAAGGGGGGGACCCGCAAGGGCCUCUCGCUUGCGGAGCGGCCGAUGUCCGAUUAGGUAGUUGGUGGGGUAAUGGCCUACCAAGCCGACGAUCGGUAGCUGGUCUGAGAGGAUGAUCAGCCACACUGGGACUGAGACACGGCCCAGACUCCUACGGGAGGCAGCAGUGGGGAAUUUUGGACAAUGGGGGCAACCCUGAUCCAGCCAUGCCGCGUGCGGGAAGAAGGCCUUCGGGUUGUAAACCGCUUUUAGCCGGGACGAAAGCUGUACGGAUAACACCCGUGCAGGUUGACGGUACCGGCGGAAUAAGCACCGGCUAACUACGUGCCAGCAGCCGCGGUAAUACGUAGGGUGCGAGCGUUAAUCGGAAUUACUGGGCGUAAAGCGUGCGCAGGCGGUUCGUUGUGUCGGUGGUGAAAGCCCCGGGCUUAACCUGGGGAAUGGCCGUC